UCUGCGCCAGUCCAUCCCCGCGGCGAUAAUGACGUAGAGGUAAAAUUCGCGUCGUCGUCGUAUAACGAAUAAUCUUAAUUAACUAUUAUUCGUAAGUCCGUUUUCUAUAAUAAUUAUUAACAAAUACCAAGAGAGAGAGAGAGAGAGAAAACCGGAAAGAAAAAACCGUGUUGGUUUUCCUCGCCGCCGUAAUAAUAAUAUAUUUCAUUCGCCGAGAUCGCCGCCGCAACCACUGCCGCC